CAUCCUCACAGAUUGACGAUUUCACCAUUAUAUAAUCUAGUCGUCCUGUGCGCACUUUUUAAGGCCACAUUAUCAUAAAAGUCAUAUCCAGUUUUAUUGAAAGGUUGCCCCAGCUUUGUUGGUCAAAAUGCAAUUCAUCUUGGAGACUGUCAACUCCGUGUUGUUUAUUGAAGCCAACCAUCUAGAAUAAGCUUGCUUUCACGGCUCAAUGAUAAGUAGCAAUUCUUGAUGUUUUUCGUGGUCGCUUUUUGGCCGUGACUUCAUUCUCCAUUUGCUCAGCAACCUGUAACACACUGCAGUUCCUCCUCGUUAUCUGAAAUACAUAUUUUGUGAUUUGUACAUCACUUAAGUCUCUUGCUUCAAGCUCUAAUUGUUGCGCUUUUAAUCAUCAAAUCCAUCAUACUAGAAAGUCUAUUAUUUCCCUGUAUUCCAAACAAUAAAUCAAGGUAUAUAAUCAA